GCUUAAUUAUUCCCUGGUAACUGAUGAGGCCACCUGAUAUCAAUUCCCCCCUGUAAAUGGUAGCCUCCUCCUUCCUGGAGUAGAGAAGGAGGCUGCUGGCAUGGCCCACCUGCCCUCUGCUGCACAUGAAUUUACGUUCUUCCAGUCCGACCUUAGUAUAGCACCCAGGUGUUCAGCGAGGUCCAUUCCGGCCUGCAGCGUGGGGAUGUGAGUCUGAUCCUGAUCCUCCCCAGUGAAUGAUUGGAAUCCCAGGGACAGCUGUGCACCCUGCCCCUCACCAGGCACCCAAGACUAACUUUGAGCCUUGGCUCAACAAAGAUGGCUGAGUUUAUAGAAUUGCAAAUGCUGGUGCCUCAACAAAGCCUGAAUCUGUCACCUUGUAGGCUUUGGAAUGGCUUAAUGCAUUUUAAUAAGGAAGAAUCAUAACUGAAUAAGAAUAACAAGUUGUUCUUUCCCGCUGGGUCCUUGCUGUGAACACUCAGAGCAGGAGCCAGGCCUUUUCUUGCUCCGGGAAUGGCUUCAAGGGCUCUGUUCAUUCCGUCCUAACAUUCCCAACAGCACCGUUAAUCAUUCUGUGUGAAUCUUCGGGUGAUAUCAUGUUAAUAAUUAACGCCUCACCUUCUGUUUCCAAAUGCGACUGCCGUGAUCCUGUUCCUUUCAAGCUAAUGAGUUUCCUGCAGCGCUUUGCAAAUGUUAACCAGGAAAUGGCCCGAAUGUCUCCCUUCAAGAAGAAAUGUUUUUCAGAAAUGUAGAUCAGAGAGUUAAAAUUGUUUGCUAAGCCUUGCUAGUAGAGACACAGGGCUCUGCUAUAGCAAAAUAUGUGAACAGAAGUUUAAAGCUUUCCACGUGCUCACUCGCACUGACUCAUCAGCAGAUACAGCCUCCCUGGAGAAGGAGAGAUGCUUGACUCCCUAAUUUGACAUCAUGUGCGCUGGAAGGACACAGGACUAGGCAUCUGAAGACACUCCCUGACUUUGUCACCUACCUACUGGCUGGUUACCUUCAGCAAGUCAUAUAACCUCUCAGAGUCUCGGUUCCUUCCUCUGUGAGAUGGGAGAGAAACUCACCACACAAGAUAUUCUGAUGAUCAGAUGAAGCAGUCUGUGUAAAUUGUAAAUUGUUAUUCCAAGAUGAGGAAUAGUAGUCAGUCAUUAUCGUAGCCUAUUUAUCCAAGGGAAAGUGGUAGAAAGAAUGAACUACAAUAUUAACACAGGCUUCUGUUUAAAAGGAACGGUCAAUAUAUAAUAAUCUUAAAAACAGUAAAAUUAGCUAUGGUACAUGGUUUUACAUCAAGAUGCUUUGCCAGAUAACAGGUCCCCCUGUUAACUCUGUGAAAUAGGAUUCCGUUUACAAGUUCAACGUGAAUCUAUUUUGUACAAUUUAGUUACACCCAAACCUUUUCUCUAUGAUAGGACAGCAGUGUUCAGAAAUCAUGGCACUUUUUUUUUUAGAUCCCUCAAAUAUUGGGAUCAAGUUUAACUCAAAACAUUUAUGACUCUGUUAGGGAAAAAUAAAAGUUGCAAUCUGUUUGGAUUUAGAGCUGUUAGAGUGGCAGUUUAUUUUUUUAGACCCUUAUAAGCCUGAGAAGAACAAUCCAAGGAACGGAGAUUUUCUGACCAGCAGGAAAAUCAACACCAUGUCCAGAAUGCUGGAUUAAAUUAAUUCACUAGUGAGCUCAUUUUACAACCAUAGCAAACAAAUUCAAUUCCCUAAACAGAAUUUUAUGACUUAAGGGAACAAAUCCAAUUUCCUGUAUUAAACACAGUGUACUUGUUUAGAUGGUUAACUGGUUUUAUUUGUAAGUGUUGUUUCUGAUUAAUGCUCGGUAAACAAAGAAAGGCUAUUAGCUUGACAAUGGAAUACACACCGUGAGUCUGUUCACAGUCAGCCCUCAGUUUAUUGAGCCUCAUUGUACUGCCUUUCCCACAUACUGCAUGUUUUACAAAUCAAAGGUUUGUGGCAAGCCUGCACCAAGCACGAUGCUGCUGCUACUGCUGCUAAGUCGUUUCAGUGUCCAACCCUGUGCGACCCCAUAGACGGCAGCCCAUCAGGCUCUCCCGUCCCUGGGAUUCUCCAGGCAAGAACACUGGAGUGGGUUGCCAUUUCCUUCUCUAAUGCGUGAAAGUGAA
ensembl:lncRNA